UCCCUGAUGUUAGCGGCGGACGGGUGAGUAACACGUGGGUAACCUGCCUGUAAGACUGGGAUAACUCCGGGAAACCGGGGCUAAUACCGGAUGGUUGUUUGAACCGCAUGGUUCAAACAUAAAAGGUGGCUUCGGCUACCACUUACAGAUGGACCCGCGGCGCAUUAGCUAGUUGGUGAGGUAAUGGCUCACCAAGGCAACGAUGCGUAGCCGACCUGAGAGGGUGAUCGGCCACACUGGGACUGAGACACGGCCCAGACUCCUACGGGAGGCAGCAGUAGGGAAUCUUCCGCAAUGGACGAAAGUCUGACGGAGCAACGCCGCGUGAGUGAUGAAGGUUUUCGGAUCGUAAAGCUCUGUUGUUAGGGAAGAACAAGUGCCGUUCGAAUAGGGCGGCACCUUGACGGUACCUAACCAGAAAGCCACGGCUAACUACGUGCCAGCAGCCGCGGUAAUACGUAGGUGGCAAGCGUUGUCCGGAAUUAUUGGGCGUAAAGGGCUCGCAGGCGGUUUCUUAAGUCUGAUGUGAAAGCCCCCGGCUCAACCGGGGAGGGUCAUUGGAAACUGGGGAACUUGAGUGCAGAAGAGGAGAGUGGAAUUCCACGUGUAGCGGUGAAAUGCGUAGAGAUGUGGAGGAACACCAGUGGCGAAGGCGACUCUCUGGUCUGUAA
rnacentral:rRNA from 2 species